UGACAGCCCACUUGACAGGUGGUCAGGAAGAAGUCAAAUCUUCUAGAGGAGAAUCAACCACUGACCUACCAGAAUCCACCAUGGACCUGGAGUCACCCACAGAUGUGUACCUGGAGAACACCCAGGCUUUCCAAAAUGAAGCAAAUUCUCCAUUAGCUGUGAUGAUCACUGCUAUCCACUACUUUCUAAGAAGAUUCUAUGCUUUUGAGCAUGCCUACCACUACACUAUAGGAGAUCUAUUGUAGAAGACUAGAAAAACAUAGGAUGUGCCCAGCUGAGGCAUUGAUCCUGGCUGGGUAGGGGGAAUUGUUCAGGGAUGGGGAAGGGGCACUUCUUAGCUGUGUCUCAUCGAGUACGGGCUCAAUAAAUAAUUGAAUUUUGAGAGUG
rnacentral:lncRNA from 1 species